rnacentral:rRNA from 1 species
UCGAGGAUCUUCGGCAAUGGGCGCAAGCCUGACCGAGCGACGCCGCGUGUGCGACGAAGGCCUUCGGGUUGUAAAGCACUGUCGGAGGGCUGGAAGGGGCAACCUUGACCGGCCCUCGGAGGAAGCACGGGCUAAGUUCGUGCCAGCAGCCGCGGUAAGACGAACCGUGCGAACGUUGUUCGGAAUCACUGGGCUUAAAGGGCGCGUAGGCGGGUGCCCAAGUCCGGGGUGAAAUACUCCAGCUCAACUGGAGAACUGCCCCGGAUACUGGGCGUCUGGAGUGGGGUAGGGGUGUGCGGAACGCUGGGUGGAGCGGUGAAAUGCGUUGAUAUCCAGCGGAACUCCGGUGGCGAAAGCGGCACACUGGACCCCGUCUGACGCUGAGGCGCGAAAGCCAGGGGAGCGAACGG